rnacentral:misc_RNA from 1 species
UCUCCGUUGGUGAACCAGCGGAGGGAUCAUUACAGAGUUGCAAAACUCCCAAACCAUCGUGAACGUUACCUAUCCCGUUGCUUCGGCGGGCGGCCCGGGCCCCCCGCCCGGCGCCCUCCUGCCCCCCGUGGGCGCCCGCCGGAGGUAAACCAAACCCUCGAAUUGCAUUGCCUCUCUGAGUCUUCUGUACUGAAUAAGUCAAAACUUUCGACAACGGAUCUCUUGGUUCUG